GAUGAACGCUGGCGGCGUGCCUAACACAUGCAAGUCGAACGUGAGGGGGUAGCAAUAUCCCUGAAAGUGGCGCACGGGUGAGUAAUACGUAGGUGACCUGCCCUGGAGUGGGGGAUAACAGCUAGAAAUGGCUGCUAAUACCGCAUACUACCAAUUUGCUGGGAAGUUGAUUGGUAAAAACUCUGGUGCUUCAGGAGGGGCCUGCGGCCGAUUAGCUAGUUGGCGGGGUAAGAGCCCACCAAGGCAUUGAUCGGUAGCUGGUCUGAGAGGACGAUCAGCCACACGGGAACUGAGACACGGUCCCGACUCCUACGGGGGGCAGCAGUGAGGAAUAUUGGGCAAUGGGCGGAAGCCUGACCCAGCAACGCCGCGUGGAGGAAGACGGCCUUCGGGUUGUAAACUCCUUUUACGGGGGAAGAGGAAGGACGGUACCCCGAGAAUAAGUCACGGCUAACUACGUGCCAGCCGCCGCAGUAAAAC
rnacentral:rRNA from 1 species